AUUGAACGCUGGCGGCAGGCCUAACACAUGCAAGUCGAGCGGAUGAAGGGAGCUUGCUCCUGGAUUCAGCGGCGGACGGGUGAGUAAUGCCUAGGAAUCUGCCUGGUAGUGGGGGAUAACGUCCGGAAACGGGCGCUAAUACCGCAUACGUCCUGAGGGAGAAAGUGGGGGAUCUUCGGACCUCACGCUAUCAGAUGAGCCUAGGUCGGAUUAGCUAGUUGGUGGGGUAAAGGCCUCCCAAGGCGACGAUCCGUAACUGGCCUGAGAGGAUGAUAAGUCACACUGGAACUGAGACACGGUCCAGACUCCUACGGGAGGCAGCAGUGGGGAAUAUUGGACAAUGGGCGAAAGCCUGAUCCAGCCAUGCCGCGUGUGUGAAGAAGGUCUUCGGAUUGUAAAGCACUUUAAGUUGGGAGGAAGGGCAGUAAGUUAAUACCUUGCUGUUUUGACGUUACCAACAGAAUAAGCACCGGCUAACUUCGUG
rnacentral:rRNA from 1 species